rnacentral:sRNA from 1 species
GCAGUUAUCUAGCAAUCUACUAAUAUUUUCUUAACACAAAGCUUCAUUCUAGAAAAUUUUUGAUUCUUUAGUGGAUGAAAGCGGAAGACUCAUCUAAAGUUAGUGGUGGAACACCUAUCAAAAUUGAAGAUCCAAAUCAGUUUGUUCCUUUAAACACAAACCCGAACGAGGUACUAGAAAAGAGAAAUAAGAUUCGGGAACAAAAUCGAUAUGACUUGAAAACAGCAGGACCACAAUCUCAGUUGCUUGCUGGAAUUGUUGUGGAUAAGCCACCUCCUACUAUGCAAUUUGAAGAUGAUGAUCAUGGCCCACCAGCUCCUCCUAACCCAUUUAGUCAUCUCACAGAAGGAGAACUUGAAGAGUAUAAGAAGACAAUCGAACGUAAACAACAAGGCCUAGAAGAAAACCAUGAGCUGUUUUCCAAG